AUUUUUGUUAAGAUUUUGUUGGAUUUUUAUAUAGAUUUAAUUUUUAAAGCCCAAAACCUCAUACAUGUUUUUUAGGCUUCGACUAGCUGGGGCUACGCCAAGACCCAAUGCCCUGAGGACCUCAUGCACCUACGGUAGGAUUCCAGUAGAAGAACGAUAAUUGUUUUGCAGGAAAAGUAUUACUUCAAAAGCAGUUUAACAGAAUUUUCAGAUAUAAGCCACAGAAAUAAACAAAUUGGUUAAAAAAAAAAAGUAUCAAAUUGAAAAUUGAUUGCUCAUGGUAUUCUAUUAAAAUCAUAACAAAUUCUUGUAAGAGAACGCAUUUGUUUAUACCUUUUUACCUUAUGCACCUACUUUUUUUGUUACUCUGUUAUUUAUAUCUAGUUAUAAUAUAUU